GAAGAGCGGCGGACGGGUGAGUAAUGCCUAGGAAUCUGCCUGGUAGUGGGGGAUAACGUUCGGAAACGGACGCUAAUACCGCAUACGUCCUACGGGAGAAAGCAGGGGACCUUCGGGCCUUGGCGGCUAAUCCAAGAUGAGCCUAGGUCGGAUUAGCUAGUUGGUGGGGUAAUGGCUCACCAAGGCGACGAUCCGUAACUGGUCUGAGAGGAUGAUCAGUCACACUGGAACUGAGACACGGUCCAGACUCCUACGGGAGGCAGCAGUGGGGAAUAUUGGACAAUGGGCGAAAGCCUGAUCCAGCCAUGCCGCGUGUGUGAAGAAGGUCUUCGGAUUGUAAAG
rnacentral:rRNA from 1 species